GUGAGGAAUUUUCCGCAAUGGGCGAAAGCCUGACGGAGCAAUGCCGCGUGAAGGAUGAAGGCCUAUGGGUUGUAAACUUCUUUUCUCAGAAAAGAAUUAUGACGGUAUCUGAGGAAUAAGCAUCGGCUAACUCUGUGCCAGCAGCCGCGGUAAUACGGAGGGUGCAAGCGUUGUUCGGAAUUAUUGGGCGUAAAGGGCGUGUAGGUGGCUUACCAAGUCUGGUGUGAAAUCCCACGGCUCAACCAUGGAACUGCAUUGGAAACUGGUGAGAUCGAGUAUUGGAGGGGGUCGCGGAAUUCCCGGUGUAGAGGUGAAAUUCGUAGAUAUCGGGAGGAACACCAGUGGCGAAGGCGGCGACCUGGCCAGUUACUGACACUGAGACGCGAAAGCGUGGGGAGCAAACAGGAUUAGAAACCCUGGUAGUCC
rnacentral:rRNA from 1 species